AGGUAUAAAACAAUAGGGUUAAACAACCAAUAUAUUAUGGCAGUCUUAAUUAAUUAAAGAAGCUCGCUUUAUAAUCGUAAACACCCGAUAAUUUUCACUUAGGAAUAAAAGUUUAUAUACCGCCGUUAAGGAAUAGCCAAAACAUUAAUCCAAAUAUUUAAAAUAACACAUUUCAGGUCAAGGUGUAACACACAGCUAAGAAAAAGUAAGCUACAUAUAAAAACAAUUUAAGAAAGUAAAAUAAAAAUAAUCACAGAAAGAGAAUUUAUUCGUAAAUAAUAAUUAAAAUCUAAUAUAGAAUUUAUAAAUAAAGAUGC
rnacentral:rRNA from 1 species